GCCGGCGUAGCUCAGUCGGUUAGAGCGAGAGAAUCAUAAACUCUAGGUCGCAGGUUCGAUCCCUGCCGCCGGCA
rnacentral:tRNA from 1 species